UUCUUAUCGAGAGAGAUGGAGGGAUUUGGCCCUGUGAAGUCUCAGCAACCGGACGUGUUUGUCACGGUGCUAAUUCCAAUAGGUGAAGCCUAGUAGAUGAGAA
rnacentral:ncRNA from 1 species